GUACCAUGCAGCCACUGGCUCCAAAGGGACCUUCUACCAGGGAAUUUGAUUACUUGGAUAGAGCCCUUCUGUCGACCACUGACCUCAGGGCUAGCUCCCCAAAACGUCGCCUUCUCUACGCUCGUUUCUGCAAAGUAGCAACAGAACAACUUCCAGUAAAAGAAGGCACUGAGGUUUAAGUGCUACGUGGGAGCAGUUGCCGAUUUUUGCAAUGGGAGGCUGCAUAGAUUCAAGCAUUUCUUCAAAUAUGGUAACAACUACCAGAGUAUUUAUUGGAGGUAGGAGUAUGAGUAAAUGAACUAGAAGAAGGCUGAGCAAAUCCAUGUUUUCCCUUCAAAGAAAUUCAUAUAAUGCAGUGGAGGUGGGGAGACAAAGAGGUGAGUUGGGCAUUUGGUUAACUAUUUGUGGUUUUCACAAUGAAGAGCUCCUAUCGCCCAUUAACCUUGCUCCAAACACACCAUGUGUGAGAGAGUCUGUGGUGAUGUGAAGAAAGACUUUGAAUGCACCUUGGUAGACAAGGGUCAGCAGUUGCAGAGAAGCAAAAGGAACAAGCAGGAAAGUGGACACUCCAUUGCCCCUAGAAGCCAUGGCAAUCUAGAGUGAAGCUGGAGUAAGGUUUGAGAAGCAACGGUCUAGGGCAGGGGUCCCCAAACCCUGGGCUGCAGACCCUGUUAGGAACCGGGCAAACAGCAGAAAAUGAGCAGUGGGCAGGUGAACAUUACCACCUGUGCCCUGCCUCAGUCAGUUCAGUGGUGGCAUUAGAUUCUUGUGAGAGCGAAACCCUGUUGUGAACUGCGCAUGUGAGGGAUCUAGGUUUUGUGCUCCUUAUGAGAAUCUAAUGCCUGAUGAUCUGU
rnacentral:lncRNA from 10 species